rnacentral:lncRNA from 1 species
GAUUCUCAAUAGUGGGAGAUUCAAAGUCAAAUAGAUAGGCAAUCGAGUUGAAUACAAAACCAUUAAACCAGUCUGAAAGCGAUGUCCAGCAAGAAAUCAAAAACUCUGUAAACAACAACGUAAAGCUCCAAGCCACAGUGUAUUGUGGAAUUACUGCAUGACGCUUUAACCGGUAUAUCCAAAAAGUCCAAGAACUCGGCAGUUUUUCGGCUCGCCGAAGAAACAGGAUACAAGACAGUGUCGAACUGGAGGUGCCAGAAGAAACGUCGGUAAGUUAUCUUAAUUAAUAUACCAAAAAUUGUAAACAAGUUUUUUUUCAAGUUUUUAAAUUAAUUAUCGGUAACUUUUAUGCUAAUUUACGUAGAAACAGUUUGUUUAUUUGAUUCGCGUGUAAUGCUUCAAAAUGCCGC